rnacentral:rRNA from 1 species
CCUACGUGUGGCAGCAGUGAGGAAUAUUGGUCAAUGGGCGCGAGCCUGAACCAGCCAAGUAGCGUGAAGGAUGACUGCCCUACGGGUUGUAAACUUCUUUUAUAAAGGAAUAAAGUGAGGCACGUGUGCCUUUUUGUAUGUACUUUAUGAAUAAGGAUCGGCUAACUCCGUGCCAGCAGCCGCGGUAAUACGGAGGAUCCGAGCGUUAUCCGGAUUUAUUGGGUUUAAAGGGAGCGUAGAUGGGUUGUUAAGUCAGUUGUGAAAGUUUUCGGCUCAACCGUAAAAUUUCAAGUGAUACUGGCAGUCUUGAGUACAGUUGAGGUAGGCGGAAUUCGUGGUGUAGCGGUGAAAUGCUUAGAUAUCACGAAGAACUCCGAUUGCGAAGGCAGCUUACUAAACUGCCACUGACAUUGAUGCUCGAAAGUGUGGGUAUCAAACAGGAUUAGAUACCCUAGUAGUC